rnacentral:rRNA from 1 species
AUUGAACGCUGGCGGCAGGCCUAACACAUGCAAGUCGAGCGCGAAAGUUCUUCGGAAUGAGUAGAGCGGCGGACGGGUGAGUAACGCGUAGGAAUCUGUCCGGUAGUGGGGGAUAACGUUCCGAAAGGAACGCUAAUACCGCAUACGCCCCAUGGGGGAAAGCGGGGGAGGUUUUCGGACCGCCUCGCGCUAUCGGAGGAGCCUGCGUCGGAUUAGCUAGUUGGUAGGGUAAAAGCCUACCAAGGCGACGAUCCGUAGCUGGUCUGAGAGGAUGAUCAGCCACACCGGAACUGAGACACGGUCCGGACUCCUACGGGAGGCAGCAGUGGGGAAUAUUGCGCAAUGGGCGAAAGCCUGACGCAGCCAUGCCGCGUGUGUGAAGAAGGCCUUCGGGUUGUAAAGCACUUUCAGAGGGGAGGAAAGCCUCAAGGUUAAUACCCUUGGGGGGUGACGCUACCCUCAGAAGAAGCACCGGCUAAUUCCGUGCCAGCCGCCGCCGUAAAAC